rnacentral:rRNA from 1 species
UACGGAGGGUGCAAGCGUUAUCCGGAUUCACUGGGUUUAAAGGGUGCGUAGGUGGAUUGGUAAGUCAGUGGUGAAAUCUCCGGGCUUAACCCGGAAACUGCCAUUGAUACUAUCAGUCUUGAAUACCGUGGAGGUCAGUAGAAUAUGUCAUGUAGCGGUGAAAUGCUUAGAUAUGACAUAGAAUACCAAUUGCGAAGGCAGCUUACUACAGGGAUAUUGACACUGAGGCACGAAAGCGUGGGGAUCAAACAGG